rnacentral:rRNA from 1 species
AGAGUUUGAUCCUGGCUCAGGAUGAACGCUGGCGGCGUGCGUAACACAUGCAAGUUGAACGACGGUGCCAUGAAGUGGUAACACGGAGUGGUAUACGGAGUAGCGGACGGGUGAGUAAAGCAUGAGAAUCUGUCCUGUCGAGGGGGAUAACGUUCGGAAACGGACCCUAAUACCCCAUAGUCCGAGAGGUUAAAGGCAGCGAUGCGCGGCAGGAGGAGCUCGUGUCCUAUCAGCUAGUUGGUGAGGUAACGGCUCACCAAGGCAACGACGGGUAGCCGGCCUGAGAGGGUGACCGGCCACACUGGAACUGAGAAACGGUCCAGACUCCUACGGGAGGCAGCAGUGGGGAAUAUUGGGCAAUGGGAGGAAUCCUGACCCAGCGACGCCGCGUGAACGAAGACGGCCUUCGGGUUGUAAAGUUCUUUUAUGUGGGAAGAAUGAAGUGACGGUACCACAUGAAUAAGCCCCGGCUAACUACGUGCCAGCAGCCGCGGUAAUACGUAGGGGGCGAGCGUUGUCCGGAAUUACUGGGCGUAAAGGGCACGCAGGCUGUGCUUCAAGUCAGCUGUAAAAGGAUGCGGCUUAACCGUGUUAUGCGGCUGAGACUGAGGUGCUGGAGUACCGGAGAGGCAAGUGGAAUUCCCAGUGUAGCGGUGAAAUGCGUAGAUAUUGGGAAGAACAUCGGUGGCGAAGGCGACUUGCUGGACGGUAACUGACGCUGAGGUGCGAAAGCCAGGGUAGCGAACGGGAUUAGAUACCCCGGUAGUCCUGGCCGUAAACGAUGAAUGCUAGGUGUGCGAGCAGAGAUGUUGGUGUGCCGCAGUUAACGCGAUAAGCAUUCCGCCUGGGGAGUACGGUCGCAAGAUUGAAACUCAAAGGAAUUGACGGGGGCCCGCACAA